rnacentral:snRNA from 1 species
AGCUUUGUGCAGUGGCAGUAUCGUAGCCAAUGAGGUUUAGCCAAGGCGCGAUUAUUGCUAAUUGAAAAAGAGACCAGUAGUA